GCCUGGGUGGUGAAAUUGGUAGACACGCUAGCUUCAGGUGCUAGUGAUCGCAAGGUCGUGGAGGUUCAAGUCCUCUCCCAGGCACCA
rnacentral:tRNA from 1 species